CCGGACUUCAUCCUUAUGUUUUUCUGGUUGUUCUGUGCACGCGUGUGUGUAGUUACGGUGUUCGUUUCGUGUAGUGGUACCCAACGGAGGUGCACUCAUUAUCAGUUGUUCAUGAUAAUCGUCUAGUUAGUUUUUCCUCGCUCUGUGAGCUGUUGGCGUCGUGUUGAGUUCAAGGUGGCGCGGCAGGCUUCCGAGCUCAAGAUUCAAGCGGCGGUGCUACGUGGAAUUUCAAGUUGUGGUAUUUUUUUUUUCCUUCCCCUGCGAUGAGGAAGGAGCUGCGGAACAAGCAAUGCUGUCGACCCUGAAACUGCAGCUGUGUUCGGAAUGCUAUCUGGGUUUCCUUUUGUUUUUGCUCUGUGAUUAUCAUGUGCGGUGCUGCGAUAUCCGGGAGUGACUACGGUGGUUGCGUCAACAUUUUUCUGCAACCUUCUCUUCUGCUGCCGUUCGAUGGUCAUCAUCUAUGGUGGAGCGGAUUCUCUUGACAUUGUUGCGGCGAUUUGUAGAGACAAAAUCACAUUUUAUUUCCUUGUCGGCAGGUGAUGAGUGUGUUACUACGGAAGGUGGUUAUUGAAGUGAAGGAAAGCUGGAAAUUUGAGCUGUGGCGGAGAAAACCAGCAGGCCUUCCAGUUCGAAGGGCUUCGCAUCCAGCGCCUCCCUCGGUGCUACUCCUCUGCAACCAUUCAAGGUGACAUCCUCGGAGUGAAUUUUUAGAUUAAGGUCAAUUCAUAGUAGACGAAGUAAAGUUAGAAUGGAUUAAUUUUGGAUGAAAACUUAAUCAAGGAUGAGUUUUCAAA